rnacentral:rRNA from 1 species
CAGUCGCCGCGGGAAUACGAGGGGUGCAAGCGCUACUCGGAAUUACUGGGCGUAAAGCGUGCGUAGGUGGUGGUUUAAGUCCGUUGUGAAAGCCCUGGGCUCAACCUGGGAAUUGCAGUGGAUACUGGGUCACUAGAGUGUGGUAGAGGAUGGUGGAAUUCCCGGUGUAGCGGUGAAAUGCGUAGAGAUCGGGAGGAACAUCAGUGGCGAAGGCGGCCAUCUGGGACAACACUGACGCUGAGGCACGAAAGCGUGGGGAGCAAACAGGAUUAGAGACCCCCGUAGUCCCUGUCUCUUAUAC